rnacentral:rRNA from 1 species
CGCCUUGCCAGCCCGCUCAGAAACUCAAAUGAAUUGACGGGGGCCCGCACAAGCGGUGGAGCAUGUGGUUUAAUUCGAUGAUACGCGAGGAACCUUACCUGGGCUUAAAUGAGAAACGACAGUUUUGGAAACAAGACCUUCUUCGGACGGUUCUCAAGGUGCUGCAUGGUUGUCGUCAGCUCGUGCUGUGAGGUGUCGGGUUAAGUCCCAUAACGAGCGCAACCCCUAUCUUUAGUUGCCAGCGAGUAAUGUCGGGGACUCUAGAGAAACUGCCGGUGCAAACCGUGAGGAAGGUGGGGAUGACGUCAAAUCAUCACGGCCCUUACGUCCAGGGCUACACACGUGCUACAAUGGCGGAUACAAAGGGCAGCUACUAGGUGACUAGAUGCUAAUCUCUAAAGUCCGUCUCAGUUCGGAUCGAAGUCUGCAACUCGACUUCGUGAAGCUGGAAUCGCUAGUAAUCGCGCAUCAGCCAUGGCGCGGUGAAUACGUUCCCGGGCCUU